UUCAUUUGAGUGUAAGCACCAAGCACAGCUCGCAUCAGUCAAUCAGAUGAUGGUUUACACGAAUAAAGAUGAUUCAGAGAUUUCUAUCCAUAAAUAAUUC